CGGAUUGAAGGGAGCUUGCUCCUGGAUUCAGCGGCGGACGGGUGAGUAAUGCCUAGGAAUCUGCCUGGUAGUGGGGGACAACGUUUCGAAAGGAACGCUAAUACCGCAUACGUCCUACGGGAGAAAGCAGGGGACCUUCGGGCCUUGCGCUAUCAGAUGAGCCUAGGUCGGAUUAGCUAGUUGGUGAGGUAAUGGCUCACCAAGGCUACGAUCCGUAACUGGUCUGAGAGGAUGAUCAGUCACACUGGAACUGAGACACGGUCCAGACUCCUACGGGAGGCAGCAGUGGGGAAUAUUGGACAAUGGGCGAAAGCCUGAUCCAGCCAUGCCGCGUGUGUGAAGAAGGUCUUCGGAUUGUAAAGCACUUUAAGUUGGGAGGAAGGGUUGUAGAUUAAUACUCUGCAAUUUUGACGUUACCGACAGAAUAAGCACCGGCUAACUCUGUGCCAGCAGCCGCGGUAAUACAGAGGGUGCAAGCGUUAAUCGGAAUUACUGGGCGUAAAGCGCGCGUAGGUGGUUCGUUAAGUUGGAUGUGAAAUCCCCGGGCUCAACCUGGGAACUGCAUCCAAAACUGGCGAGCUAGAGUAUGGUAGAGGGUGGUGGAAUUUCCUGUGUAGCGGUGAAAUGCGUAGAUAUAGGAAGGAACACCAGUGGCGAAGGCGACCACCUGGACUGAUACUGACACUGAGGUGCGAAAGCGUGGGGAGCAAACAGGAUUAGAUACCCUGGUAGUCCACGCCGUAAACGAUGUCAACUAGCCGUUGGGAGCCUUGAGCUCUUAGUGGCGCAGCUAACGCAUUAAGUUGACCGCCUGGGGAGUACGGCCGCAAGGUAAAACUCAAAUGAAUUGACGGGGGCCCGCCCAAGCGGUGGAGCAUGUGGUUUAUUCGAAGAACGCGAAGACCUUACCGGCCUUGCUUCCAUGGACUUUCCGAGAU
rnacentral:rRNA from 1 species